rnacentral:rRNA from 1 species
GUGAGGAAUAUUGGUCAAUGGACGAGAGUCUGAACCAGCCAAGUCGCGUGAAGGAAGACGGUUCUAUGAAUUGUAAACUUCUUUUGUGCAGGAAUAAAGUGGGUUACGUGUAACCUUUUGUAUGUACUGUACGAAUAAGGAUCGGCUAACUCCGUGCCAGCAGCCGCGGUAAUACGGAGGAUCCGAGCGUUAUCCGGAUUUAUUGGGUUUAAAGGGUGCGUAGGUGGAUUGAUAAGUCAGAGGUGAAAGUUUGCAGCUUAACUGUAAAAUUGCCGUUGAAACUGUCGGUCUUGAGUGCAAAUGAGGUAGGCGGAAUGUGUUGUGUAGCGGUGAAAUGCUUAGAUAUAACACAGAACUCCGAUUGCGAAGGCAGCUUACUGGGAUGCAACUGACACUGAUGCACGAAAGCGUGGGUAUCAAACAGGAUUAGAAACCCUAGUAGUCC